GCAGCCUCUCACCACCGCAGAACCCGGAUUUAGCGCCUGACCGACCGAAGUGACAGCACGCCUAUGAGCUCACCUGACCGCAGUGGGCGUGGCCUGCUAUGAUGCCGCUGCACCUAUAAAAAAACGCCUAAACUCCGCCUCCGAAAGCAACGCAACCAAUCAUCUGUCAAAACGCCAAAUAUGGCAAGGUCCUAACCCUUUAAAGAGCAGCUUAAUGAAGCAGCAAAGCGGCUCACAAUCAGAGACUCCAGCUCAAACAGCUCCAGGACUAACAGCCCAGGAGGGUGGUCCGAUCCUGAUUUAAUCCAGAUUUUAGCUGCGUCCAGGAAUGCAGAGUGAGGUGGCGAGCGACGAUGAGGCCUGGGGACAGAGUUACGGUAUAGCGGUCUUGGCUGGGCUGUUUGGUGUAAGAGCACACCGCUGGGGUGUACGAUACAGUGGGAACCGUGUUAUUGCAGGUCAAGGGUUGCUCUGAAGCAGUAAAAAGAAACCAUGUGAUGGACUAUGGAAACAGCCAGGGGGGGCAAAGUUAAUAUUCAUGACCAGACGAUUGGAUAACUGCACGGCUUCAGAAUGGCAAGUUCUUAUAUGUGGACCUUCCAGUCAUAAUAACUGAGCUGAGAUGGGACAAGCUGCUCAACACAAUAUGUAAACUAAAUAUAUACAGUAUUUCAGUGCAAAACACUCUGUCAUGACACUAGGGAGUUUUCUGAAGUUGCCAAGGCAUCUCUAUUCAGGCAUUUUGAGUAGUUUUAGUACAUUGCUAUGAUAAUCACUCUCUUAAUGUGUUUUUGUUGUAAACUGAAACUAGUUGCAUGCCUUUAGGGCCAUGGACAAUUGUCUAUGAUACAACCAAUAUGUUAUUUUAACACUAAUGAUGUUUCACUUUAAGCUUACGUUUCCUCAUUGUUUUGGUGUAAAGAUAAACAGUAGGUCAGAAAGUAAAUCUGUUCACAUGAAACUACUUACUUCGCAGAACACAAGUUACUCUUCAAUCUGAAGUUAUCACUGACCCUGGCCUUCCACUUGCUCUACAUAUGCACACACACAUGCAUCUGUACACAAACGAAUGAUACAGAAAAGGGCAAAAUUGGCACAUUUUUGUCUGUUUGCACUGCUCAAACAUCGAGCAAUCCAUUCCAGGACUUCCUGAUAGAGGAAUUACAAAGUCUAGUAGUGUUUCUCAACAUACACAGACUCAGGUUGAUGUAGCUUUCCGCUUUGUACCAUUUUUCUCUCUCUCCAGCCGCACUGCAUGUGAAAGAGAGACCUGCUUCCUGUUUAUGAUGAGAACACAUCAAGCACCUAUAUGUUUACAGGCACAUUUUACAGGAUGUGGCCUCGUUCACGAGGGUGGAGACUGUGAGUGCAGUGGAGGAAAGAUGGGGAGGUUGAGGGUUUCUUUAUAUAGGUACACCUGACAGAACAUACCAAGCAACUGGUGCAAGUCUUUCCAUCACCUGCACAAUGGAAAUAGCAAAAAGGAACAUAUUCGAGUGUUGUUUUGUAGACUUGGGUGCCAACAAGUUGAACAUAUACUGUGUUGAACUCUGCUUCACAAGUAGAUGUGGUCAAUAUUUAUUUACCGAACAAGACUCCAGAAAGUUUUUGGACACAUUAACUGCUUUAGAGCAUCAUUGCUUUAGAUAAGAAAGCAACCAUGUG